UACGGAGGAUGCAAGCGUUAUCCGGAUUCAUUGGGUUUAAAGGGUGCGUAGGCGGACUGAUAAGUCAGUGGUGAAAUCUCUUUGCUUAACAAAGAAACUGCCAUUGAUACUGUCGGUCUAGAGUAUAGAUGACGUUGGCGGAAUAUGACAUGUAGUGGUGAAAUACUUAGAUAUGUCAUAGAACACCGAUUGCGAAGGCAGCUAACGAAACUAUAACUGACGCUGAGGCACGAAAAGUGCGGGGAUCAAACAGG
rnacentral:rRNA from 1 species